ensembl:snRNA U6 U6 spliceosomal RNA
GUGAAUAAGAUAAGCAGCACAUACAUUAAAAACUGGAACAAUGCAGAGAAGAUGAGCGUGGACUCUGCACGAGAAUGGCAUGCGAAUUCAUGAGGCAUUUCAUAUUUUU